UACGGGGGGGGCAAGCGUUGUUCGGAAUUACUGGGCGUAAAGGGCUCGUAGGCGGCCAACUAAGUCAUACGUGAAAUCCCUCGGCUUAACCGGGGAACUGCGUCUGAUACUGGAUGGCUUGAGUUCGGGAGAGGGAUGCGGAAUUCCAGGUGUAGCGGUGAAAUGCGUAGAUAUCUGGAGGAACACCGGUGGCGAAGGCGGCAUCCUGGACCAUUACUGACGCUGAAUAGCGAAAGCCAGGGGAGCAAACGGG
rnacentral:rRNA from 1 species